ACGUCCUACGGGAGGCAGCAGUGGGGAAUUUUGGACAAUGGGGGAAACCCUGAUCCAGCCAUCCCGCGUGUGCGAUGAAGGCCUUCGGGUUGUAAAGCACUUUUGGCAGGAAAGAAACGUCGUGGGUUAAUACCCCGCGAAACUGACGGUACCUGCAGAAUAAGCACCGGCUAACUACGUGC
rnacentral:rRNA from 1 species